rnacentral:rRNA from 1 species
UGCGAUAAGUAAUGUGAAUUGCAGAAUUCCGUGAAUCAUCGAAUCUUUGAACGCACAUUGCGCCCCCUGGCAUUCCGGGGGGCAUGCCUGUCCGAGCGUCAUUGCUAACCCUCCAGCCCGGCUGGUGUGUUGGGCCGCCGUCCCCUCCGGGGGACGGGCCCGAAAGGCAGCGGCGGCGCCGCGUCCGGUCCUCGAGCGUAUGGGGCUUUGUCACACGCUCUGGUAGGCCCGGCCGGCUUGCUGGCCAACGACCUCACGGUCACCUAACUUCUCUCUUAGGUUGACCUCGGAUCAGGUAGGGAUACCCGCUGAACUUAAGCAUAUCAAUAAGCGGAGGAAAAGAAACCAACAGGGAUUGCCCUAGUAACGGCGAGUGAAGCGGCAAGAGCUCAAAUUUGAAAUCUGGCCCCUCCGGGGUCCGAGUUGUAAUUUGCAGAGGAUGCUUCGGGUGCGGUCCCCAUCUAAGUGCCCUGGAACGGGCCGUCAUAGAGGGUGAGAAUCCCGUCUGGGAUGGGUGGCCGUGCCCGUGUGAAGCUCCUUCGACGAGUCGGGUUGUUUGGGAAUGCAGCUCUAAAUGGGUGGUAAAUUUCAUCUAAAGCUAAAUAUUGGCCGGAGACCGAUAGCGCACAAGUAGAGUGAUCGAAAGAUGAAAAGCACUUUGAAAAGAGAGUUAAACAGCACGUGAAAUUGUUGAAAGGGAAGCGCUUGCGACCAGACUCGCCCGCGGGGGUUCAGCCGGUACUCGUACCGGUGUAUUCCCCCGUGGGCGGGCCAGCGUCGGUUUGGGCGGCCGGUCAAAGGCCCCCGGAAUGUGUCGCCUCUCGGGGCGUCUUAUAGCCGGGGGUGCAAUGCGGCCAGCCUGGACCGAGGAACGCGCUUCGGCACGGACGCUGGCGUAAUGGUCGUAAGCGGCCCGUCUUGAAACACGGACCAAGGAGUCUAACAUCUACGCGAGUGUUCGGGUGUCAAACCCGUCCGCGCAGUGAAAGCGAACGGAGGUGGGAACCUUUCGGGGUGCACCAUCGACCGAUCCUGAUGUCUUCGGAUGGAUUUGAGUAAGAGCGUAGCUGUUGGGACCCGAAAGAUGGUGAACUAUGCCUGAAUAGGGCGAAGCCAGAGGAAACUCUGGUGGAGGCUCGCAGCGGUUCUGACGUGCAAAUCGAUCGUCAAAUUUGGGUAUAGGGGCGAAAGACUAAUCGAACCAUCUGGUAGCUGGUUCCUGCCGAAGUUUCCCUCAGGAUAGCAGUAACGUUUUCAGUUUUAUGAGGUAAAGCGAAUGAUUAGAGGCCUUGGGGUUGAAACAACCUUAACCUAUUCUCAAACUUUAAAUAUGUAAGAAGCCCUUGUUGCUUAGUUGAACGUGGGCAU